ACCAAUGCUGGUCUUGCUG
rnacentral:misc_RNA from 1 species